GGCUGUGUUGUUUGGCUCCUUCCUCAUGGUUUUGGAACUUUCAGCAGGCAAUAACCCUUCUCAUGCAUANAUCGUGCUGGGGGGCCUCGGUGUUCAAUGGUGGUUCCUGUGUUGCCUACCAAUUUAUCGGUAUUCGUGUGCCGCGAAGACCCGUUACUUCCACACACCCCUUUGUGGUGGUUGAUGGGGGAUUUCUNAUNUGAUGCGUGUUUUGUGUUAGUCGUGCGUUGUAUCGGCUCAUGUGCCCACACGUGUAUAUUGUUCCCUUGGAUGCGGUGCAUGUGGUGAAUGUGGGCUGGUGUUUAUGCCUCGUUUCGUCGCUGUGAUAUAACAGUUGCCUUUGAAAGACACUUUGCCGUAGNGCCAGCCUUGCUNUCCCAUUGGUGGUUGCAAUACUUGCAU
rnacentral:misc_RNA from 1 species